rnacentral:rRNA from 1 species
GGCGAACGGGUGAGUAACACGUGAGCAACCUGCCUUUCAGUGGGGGACAACAUUUGGAAACGAAUGCUAAUACCGCAUAAGACCACAGUGUCGCAUGGCACAGGGGUCAAAGGAUUUAUCCGCUGAAAGAUGGGCUCGCGUCCGAUUAGCUAGAUGGUGAGGUAACGGCCCACCAUGGCGACGAUCGGUAGCCGGACUGAGAGGUUGAACGGCCACAUUGGGACUGAGACACGGCCCAGACUCCUACGGGAGGCAGCAGUGGGGAAUAUUGCACAAUGGGGGAAACCCUGAUGCAGCGACGCCGCGUGGAGGAAGAAGGUCUUCGGAUUGUAAACUCCUGUCCCAGGGGACGAUAAUGACGGUACCCUGGGAGGAAGCACCGGCUAACUACGUGCCAGCAGCCGCGGUAAAACGUAGGGUGCAAGCGUUGUCCGGAAUUACUGGGUGUAAAGGGAGCGCAGGCGGAUUGGCAAGUUGGGAGUGAAAUCUAUGGGCUCAACCCAUAAAUUGCUUUCAAAACUGUCAGUCUUGAGUGGUGUAGAGGUAGGCGGAAUUCCCGGUGUAGCGGUGGAAUGCGUAGAUAUC